AACUCAAAUCUAUAUGUAUUUAUAUGUAAUGUCUUCCCUUCCCUUCCCUUCCCUUGCCUUGCCUUCUUCAUCGUCAUCGUCAUCGUCAUCGUUAUCAUCUCUCCUUCUUCAACUUUCAAUUCAAACACACGAUCAAUUUUCGUCUCUUUCAUUUCAAACUCUACCAAAAUUCACAAUCCCAAAUCACUAUUUCUUCACUUCUAAUUUCUUUAUUUUGUUUAAUCCUUCUUCUUCUUCUUCUUCAACCUUCCACAGUUUUCACCUCUAAUUUUGACUUCCUUACCCUACAAUUUCGCCCAUGGCUUCCUCCAAUGUCGAGAUCGCGUCCACCUCCAAAACCAAUCCUGAUCUCCCGCCUCAAUCCUCUCUUUCUUCUAUUUCCACAAUUAUCGCUGAUCCCUCCAGGAGUUUGGUUUCCAUUACUAUGGAUGACCUGCUUAAGAACAUCUAUGCCGAUGCUCAAACUCACAAUCAAAAUCCCAUUAUUGCCUCCUCCUCCUCCUCCAUCCCCUCUCAUGAAUUGAGUUCCCGAACUGUGGAUGAGGUCUGGAAGGAGAUCGUUUCUGGGGGUGAUCAGAGGCGGGACCCUGCUACGGAUCACGAAAUUACGCUUGAAGAUUUUUUGUCCAAGUCUGGGGCUGUUUGUGAUGACGAUUUGAGGGUGCCGGUCAUUUCUGAACCUGUUGGGGGUUAUGCUGUCGACUCCACGCUUAAUAAUAAUCAGCUUCAGAUUCCGUCCCAGCAGUUGGAAGGUCCCAUGGUGGGAGGUUAUGCGAGUGGAAUCGAUGGCAGAAUCGUUGGAGUUGGAAGAGGGAAAAGAAGGGCUGUUGUUGAGGAACCGGUUGAUAAGGCCACUCAGCAAAAACAGAGACGGAUGAUCAAGAACAGGGAAUCCGCUGCCCGUUCUCGGGAACGCAAGCAGGCUUAUACGCUAGAGCUAGAGUCUCUUGUGACCCAACUGGAGCAGGAACAUGCAAGGCUAUUGAGAGAAGAGGAUUUCUGUAUGUGUCGAGUCUAAAUCAUCAUCCAUUCAGAAGUUCUGAGGAAUCAAAUUCUAAAUGCAGGCUGAGCACAUCAAGGAACGGUCUAAGCAGCUGAAGAAGAAACUCAUUCCAAUUAGUGAGAAGCGAAGACCACAACGCAAUCUUAGAAGAGUGAAUUCUUUAUAGCGGUGGUAGUGUGUAGCUCUGGAAAGGAGAGAGGGUGUUGGAAUGAGCGUUUUAUUUUACAGUUGUUAAUAAUACGAAACUGGGUUACCUCUUACGUGCCUGUGUUCAUGAAGGUAUAUAACCAAGUUAUUCAUAUCAUAGAGAGAUACUUGGGGAAUAAAAACACAACUGGCCACCAAGUAAAUAGUUGACGACAUUCCAAGUAUGGACUUGUCAUUUACAGCUAUAGAAACUGUUGAAUCUCAACAUCGGAAAUAGGUAGUACGAUGCUGCUGAAGAUUUGAACCUCACUGAAUUGCACUCCACCUGUGGCUCUGCUAAUUGUGUAUGUAUUGCGUCUGUUUUAUCAUGUGUUGAAGAAAAGGUACAAAGGAUAAUAAGUAGGGAGAAGAAGUUAUCUCAUUGUAUAUGACUUUUGGUUCUACUUUACUGGUGAUAAGAAGGAAUGGGGUUGUGGUGAUUAAUCUGAAUUUAUUUUACUAAUAUAAAUUUGUUUGUUUGUAUGUUACUGCAUCCAAGAGCUUUUCUCCUUU